ACUCAAAUGAAUUGACGGGGCCCCGCACAAGCGGCGGAGCAUGCGGCUUAAUUCGAUGCAACGCGAAGAACCUUACCUGGGUUUGACAUGCAGGGUGAAACCCGUGAAAGCGGGCGCUCUUCGGAGCCUGCACAGGUGGUGCAUGGCUGUCGUCAGCUCGUGCCGUGAGGUGUUGCCUUAAGUGGCGCAACGAGCGCAACCCCUGUCCUUAGUUGCCAGCGGAUCAUGCCGGGAACUCUAGGGAGACUGCCGGUGCCAAACCGGAGGAAGGUGGGGAUGACGUCAAGUCAGCAUGCCCCUUAUACCCAGGGCUGCACGCAUGCUACAAUGCGCGAUACAGAGGGCUGCGAUCCCGUAAGGGGGAGCGAAUCCCAAAAAGUCGCGCUCAGUUCGGAUCGAGGUCUGCAACCCGACCUCGUGAAGCCGGAGUCGCUAGUAAUCGCAGAUCAGCACUGCUGCGGUGAAUACGUUCCCGGGGCUUGCACACACCGCCCGU
rnacentral:rRNA from 1 species